AUGCAAGACUGCAGAUGCUGUGGUCCGUUGCCUGGACUGUGUUCCCUCAGGAACUCAGUUUCUCUGUCCUGCUUGUGACCUCAAGGUCCACAAAAAGCACGUGUUACAUGACAGAGAAGUCAUGAUUUAUGGUUUUUUCAAACCUAUUCCUCCGACAUCCUCAGUGGUGAUCGACCAAAGUGGGCAACAUCAACUUGCUGAACAAGUUUGCGUGCUUCCGAUUCCUCCACCACUGCAAGUCUGCUCCUGCAGCACAGACCAAGACUUCACCAUUGUCCCUGGCAAACACACUGUCUUGGUGACUAUCAAUGGCCCGUACAACUUGUGCCUGCCUGUUGUGUGUUGCCCACUUUGCAACUACAAGUGGACCCCAGGAUUAAAUGACCUGCUUGGAUGCCGAUACUGGCCAGCAACCACCAGCUGCCAGCUCCUUUUUAAGUUUGAUGUCUUCACAUCAUUUGAGGAGAUGAAGUUGGCUAGCCCAGCAUUGUCCCAACAAGCGUUCCUGAGAAUGCUUGAGCACAGAUCCCAAAGCACAGGACGGAUGGGUAGUAUUUGUGGUGAUUCCUUCCACAGAGCCUUUCAGGAAUUUGCCUUCUGCAAUUUUAAGAAGGAUGAUCUGUGCCAGGUGGAGCCAUUUGUAUGUCCAGCAUGCACACCAGACAUGCUGGCCAUAUCAGCAGAUGGUAACAGGAAACAUUAUCGUUUCAAGAAGUCCAAAGGGACAGAUGAACCAUCUCUUUUUGAUGGACUCUUCAUUGCAGAGGAUGUAAAGGUGUCGGCCUUUGUUGACAAAAUCCGAAGCCUGAUGACAGUUGUAAGGAUGUUUUUAACGAUCUAAUUCUUCUUUAAUUUUUGUCCCAGUAUUACGUGUAACACAUUGUAUCUAAUUUCAGAGCACUGGUCAUGAUGUUUGUGGGCCGGCAACAUUUACGGCAGCCAGAGAAACAUCACGCAAAUCACGAGCAAAGGUGGAUGAGGAGGGGCUCGAAAUCGCUGUGUGCCGCCAUGGAACGUUGCUACAAGGCCUGAACCACUACCGUGGGGAAAUAUAUGCAUAUCCGCUGUUCUUGCAGAAAGAAUUGUCUGAAAAGGCAAACGUGACGUUCUUUUGUAUGGACAUCACUUGCAGGUAGUCACAACCGUUGCCUCAUCAUAACUCUAUAUUUUCCGCAGGUGUGGCCAUUACUACUGAGUUCUUAUUGCAUGGGUUAUCAAAGCUCUGUUACACUGGUCAGACCACACUCAUUUUGUGGUGAAAAAAAAUUUCAUCAGACGUAUGAACACGCAGAUUCAAGUUGAAAACACUACCAAUACCAACCUUUUCACUCCAAGUCCUGCUUUGUGUCCUUACCAUUAUGAACCUCAAAUGCUGUGUUGUUUUUUCUAUUACAGAUAUUGGCCAUACCUGACAAAAAUGGCAGAGAAGUUGCCAGAGCUCCAGCCUCUUGUAGACAUGAAGCCAUUUCUCUCAGUAAUGCAUGCCAAGGCUCACACUGGCAAAUGUGAGGUACAGUGGCAAGUUAAAUGUUUGUAUCACAACACUGAUUUUAAUUCUCUUACCUCUUCUCUUCCACUAGAAAU
ensembl:lncRNA